rnacentral:rRNA from 1 species
AGUACUGUGAAGGAAAGGUGAAAAGGACCCCGGGAGGGGAGUGAAAGAGAACCUGAAACCCUGUGUUUACAAACUGUGGAAGUACCAUACGAGUACAACCGCGUACUUUUUGUAGAACGGUCCGGCGAGUUACGUUUACUGGCGAGGUUAAGCACUUAAGGUGCGGAGCCGAAGGGAUACCAAGUCUUAACAGGGCGUAAAGUCAGUGUACGUAGACCCGAAACCGGGUGAUCUACCCAUGUCCAGGCUGAAGUUGCCGUAAAAGGCAAUGGAGGGCCGAACGCACAUCCGUUGAAAAGGGUGGCGAUGAGGUGUGGGUAGGGGAGAAAUUCCAAUCGAACCCGGAGAUAGCUGGUUCUCCUCGAAAUAGCUUUAGGGCUAGCCUCGUGUUAACCUUGUGGAGGUAGAGCACUGAAUAUCCUAGGGGGCGUCAAAGUCUACCGAAGAUUAUCAAACUCCGAAUGCCAUAAAGGUGAUGCACGGGAGUCAGACUGCACGAGAUAAGUUGGGUGGUCAAAAGGGAAAGAGCCCAGACCUACAGCUAAGGUCCCAAAGUGCGUGUUAAGUGGAAAAGGAUGUGGGAUUUCGAAGACAACUAGGAUGUUGGCUCAGAAGCAGCCAUACAUUCAAAGAGUGCGUAAUAGCUCACUAGUCGAGAGGUCCUGCGCCGAAAAUGUCCGGGGCUAAAACACGACACCGAAGCUUAGGACUCCUUUAAGGAGUGGUAGAGGAGCAUUGUUAGCGCAGCGAAGCUGUACCGAUAAGGAGCAGUGGAGUGCUAAGAAGAGAGAAUGCCGGAAUGAGUAGCGAGAGGAAGGUGAGAAUCCUUCCGGCCGAAUAUCCAAGGUUUCCAGAGUAAAGCUGAUCUGCUCUGGGUAAGUCGGGGCCUAAGGCGAGGUCGAAAGACGUAGUCGAUGGAUAACAGGUGGAGAUUCCUGUACUAUGUGUACCCAGAACUGUGGGGACGCAUGUGGAGAGCAUGAGCCGGGAAAGAGAAAACCGGUACAAGCGGGGUAGGAGUAAGGACAGCAAAUCUUCCUUACAAUCCGAAGACGUAAUGUGGACCGAACCAAAGUAGGGAAGCGUGUGAGCCAUGUGCCAAGAAAAGCCGCUAUUGUGAUACACAUACCCGUACCGUAAACCGACACAGGUGGAUGAGGAGAGAAUCCUAAGGCCGACGGAAGAAGCAUUGUUAAGGAACUCGGCAAAAUGACCCCGUAACUUCGGGAGAAGGGGUGCCCUGUGAAAGCAGGGCCGCAGAGAAUAGGCUCAAGCAACUGUUUAGCAAAAACACAGGUCUAUGCGAAACCGAAAGGUGAGGUAUAUGGGCUGACGCCUGCCCGGUGCUGGAAGGUUAAGAGGAGAAGUCAGGCAACGAAGCUUCGAAUUUAAGCCCCAGUAAACGGCGGCCGUAACUAUAACGGUCCUAAGGUAGCGAAAUUCCUUGUCGGGUAAG